rnacentral:rRNA from 1 species
GCAGCUACACAUGCAGUCGAGCGAGACCUUCGGGUCUAGCGGCGGACGGGUUAGUAACGCGUGGGAACGUGCCCUUCUCUGCGGAAUAGCCACUGGAAACGGUGAGUAAUACCGCAUACGCCCUUCGGGGGAAAGAUUUAUCGGAGAAGGAUCGGCCCGCGUUAGAUUAGAUAGUUGGUGGGGUAACGGCCUACCAAGUCUACGAUCUAUAGCUGGUUUUAGAGGAUGAUCAGCAACACUGGGACUGAGACACGGCCCAGACUCCUACGGGAGGCAGCAGUGGGGAAUCUUAGACAAUGGGCGCAAGCCUGAUCUAGCCAUGCCGCGUGUGUGAUGAAGGUCUUAGGAUCGUAAAGCACUUUCGCCAGGGAUGAUAAUGACAGUACCUGGUAAAGAAACCCCGGCUAAGUCCGUGCCAGCAGCCGCGGUAAUACGGAGGGCUUAGCGUUGUUCGGAAUUACUGGGCGUAAAGCGCGCUUAGGCUUAUUGCAAAGUUGACGGUGAGAUCCCGGGGUUGUGCGCGGAACUGCAUCCAAAUGAGAGUCAACAGGUCGAGAUAGUCGACUGGAAUUCCGAGUGUACAGGUGAGAGUCUACAGAUUUGGAGGAUGCCCGUGACGGAGGCUGCUCACUGACUCGGUGUGACGCUGAGGUGCUAAGCGUGUUGAGCACCCGGAUUAGCACCCUGGUGUC